AGAGUUUGAUCCUGGCUCAGGACGAACGCUGGCGGCGUGCCUAACACAUGUAAGUCGAACGGGUAAAUGGAAGGCGGAGCUUGCUCCAACAUUCAUUAACUAGUGGCGGACGGGUGAGUAACGCGUGAGCAACCUACCUAACACAGGGGGAUAACACAUGGAAACGUGUGCUAAUACCGCAUAACAUAACCAUAAGGCAUCUUAAGGUUAUCAAAGGAGUAAUCCGGUGAUAGAUGGGCUCGCGUCCGAUUAGAUAGUUGGUAAGGUAACGGCUUACCAAGUCUGCGAUCGGUAGCCGGACUGAGAGGUUGAACGGCCACACUGGGACUGAGACACGGCCCAGACUCCUACGGGAGGCAGCAGUGGGGAAUAUUGGACAAUGGGGGAAACCCCGAUCCAGCAACGCCGCGUGAAGGAAGAAGGCUUUCGGGUUGUAAACUUCUUUGACGAGGGAAGAUAAUGACGGUACCUCGAAAACAAGCUACGGCUAACUACGUGCCAGCAGCCGCGGUAAUACGUAGGUGGCAAGCGUUGUCCGGAAUUACUGGGUGUAAAGGGCGUGUAGGCGGAACUACAAGUCAGAUGUGAAAUACCACGGCUCAACCGUGGAACGGCAUUUGAAACUGUAGAUCUUGAGUAUCGGAGAGGCAAGUGGAAUUUCCAGUGUAGCGGUAAAAUGCGUAGAUAUUGGAAGGAACACCGGUGGCGAAGGCGACUUGCUGGACGAUUACUGACGCUGAUGCGCGAAAGUGUGGGGAGCGAACAGGAUUAGAUACCCUGGUAGUCCACACAGUAAACGAUGGAUACUAGGUGUGGGAGGACUGACCCCUUCCGUGCCGGAGUUAACACAAUAAGUAUCCCACCUGAGGAGUACGGUCGCAAGAUUAAAACUCAAAGGAAUUGACGGGGGCCCGCACAAGCAGUGGAGUAUGUGGUUUAAUUCGAUGCUACGCGAAGAACCUUACCAAGGCUUGACAUCCUACUUACGAAGUAGAGAUACAUUAGGUGCCCUUAUGGGAAAGUAGAGACAGGUGGUGCAUGGUUGUCGUCAGCUCGUGUCGUGAGAUGUUGGGUUAAGUCCCGCAACGAGCGCAACCCUUAUGGUUAGUUGCUACACAAGAGAACUCUAGCCAGACUGCCGUUGACAAAACGGAGGAAGGUGGGGACGACGUCAAAUCAUCAUGCCCCUUAUGUCUUGGGCUACACACGUACUACAAUGGCGAUCAUACAGAGGGAAGCAAACCCGCGAGGGGGAGCAAAUCCCUAAAAGUCGCCUCAGUUCAGAUUGCAGGCUGCAACUCGCCUGCAUGAAGUUGGAAUUGCUAGUAAUCGCGGAUCAGAAUGCCGCGGUGAAUACGUUCCCGGGCCUUGUACACACCGCCCGUCAAACCAUGAAAGUCGGUAAUACCCGAAGUUCUUAGUCUAACCGCAAGGAGGACGAGGCCGAAGGUAGGAUUGAUAAUUGGGGUUAAGUCGUAACAAGGUA
rnacentral:rRNA from 1 species